AAUAAGUUUAUAUUUUAGGUUUUCAAUACAAUGUUUGACUUUUCGUCUUAUUUGGAUUUUUUACAAUUAAUAUUUUUAUUGUUAUUAGAUAAUAAAACAUGAAUAAUAUUUUACACGUGACUAAUUUUUUUGAGUUUUUUUAUAAUUUUUUAAAUAAAAUGGAUGGUAAAAUGUUGGACAACAAAUCC
rnacentral:pre_miRNA from 1 species